rnacentral:rRNA from 1 species
AUACGGAGGGAGCAAGCGUUAUUCGGAAUCACUGGGCGUGAAGGACGCGUAGGCGGGUUUGUAAGUCAGGUGUGAAAUCCUACAGCUCAACUGUAGAACUGCACUUGAAACUACAGACCUAGAGUAUGGAAGGGGCAGAUGGAAUCAGUGGUGUAGGGGUAAAAUCCGUAGAUAUCACUAGGAAUACCGAAAGCGAAGGCGAUCUGCUGGGACAUUACUGACGCUGAGGCGUGAAAGCGUGGGGAGCAAACAGGAUUAGAAACCCCAGUAGUCC